CGUGUAGGCGGUUUGGCAGGUCGAGUGUGAAAUCCCACGGCUCAACCGUGGAACUGCGCUCGAAACUGCCUUACUUGAGUGCGGGAGAGGUGUGCGGAAUUCCUGGUGUAGCGGUGGAAUGCGUAGAUAUCAGGAAGAACACCGGUGGCGAAGGCGGCACACUGGCCCAGCACUGACGCUGAGGCGCGAAAGCGUGGGGAGCGAACG
rnacentral:rRNA from 1 species